CCUACGGGAUGCACCAGUGGGGAAUCUUGGACAAUGGGCGAAAGCCCGAUCCAGCAAUAUCGCGUGAGUGAAGAAGGGCAAUGCCGCUUGUAAAGCUCUCUCGUCGAGUGCGCGAUCAUGACAGGACUCGAGGAAGAAGCACCGGCUAACUCCGUGCCAGCAGCCGCGGUAAUACGGAGGGUGCGAGCGUUAAUCGGAAUUACUGGGCGUAAAGCGCAUGCAGGCGGUCUGUUAAGCAAGAUGUGAAAGCCCGGGGCUCAACCUCGGAACAGCAUUUUGAACUGGCAGACUAGAGUCUUGUAGAGGGGGGUAGAAUUUCAGGUGUAGCGGUGAAAUGCGUAGAGAUCUGAAGGAAUACCGGUGGCGAAGGCGGCCCCCUGGACAAAGACUGACGCUCAGAUGCGAAAGCGUGGGGAGCAAACAGGAUUAGAUACCCGGGUAGUC
rnacentral:rRNA from 1 species